rnacentral:rRNA from 1 species
CUACGGGGCGCUCCAGUGAGGAAUAUUGCACAAUGGGGGGAACCCUGAUGCAGCAACGCCGCGUGGAGGAUGACGCAUUUCGGUGUGUAAACUCCUUUUAUAUGUCAAGAAAAUGACGGUAGCAUAUGAAUAAGCGCCGGCUAACUCCGUGCCAGCAGCCGCGGUAAUACGGAGGGGCGCAAGCGUUACUCGGAAUCACUGGGCGUAAAGGACGCGUAGGCGGGUUGAAAAGUCAGGUGUGAAAGCCUACAGCUUAACUGUAGAACUGCACUUGAAACUCUCAAUCUAGAGUAUGGGAGGGGCAGAUGGAAUUAGUGGUGUAGGGGUAAAAUCCGUAGAUAUCACUAGGAAUACCUAAAGCGAAGGCGAUCUGCUGGAACAUUACUGACGCUAAGGCGUGAAAGCGUGGGGAGCAAACAGGAUUAGAUACCCCGGUAGUC